AUAUUUGUUGUUUAUUUAUGUUUUGUGCUCGGCCAAACGCUUGUGUGUCUGUGUGUAUCUCUGAAAUCGACCUGCUGUGUGUGCAUUUGAGUUUGUGUGUGUCUCUGUGUGUGUGCGUGUGUGUGUGUGUGUGGCACAAAACAGCUGUUGGUGCAACAACAAUAACAACAACAACUAUUACUACGACGACGACAUCUUGAGUGCAGACGCCAAAACGAAAACAACAAUUAAAUUGCAUAUAAAUUUAAUUUUUUUCAAAUUAAAUUUUAUGCCCACGAGCGGCCGCUUUUUUAAGCCCACCUCAGCGGAAGGAAAUUGAAAACUGUGUAUUAAAACGACUGUGGUUAGUGUCGGACUCGAAGAAACAAAUGUUACAGCGUUCUUAGAGACGAAAAGUGCUUGUUAACCGGGAAGAGCUGUGUGGUAAAUAACAGUAAAGAGAUCUCCGGCCAGGUUAUGUACUGCCAAGAGAUGCUGCUGCUGGCGUGCCUAGUGCUGCUGUUGGGUGGCCAGCCACAUUUGACAUCCACCACAACGACGACCACUUUGGUGGCGGCCAUGACCAUUGCCAAUCAGGAUCUGGAGCGUUACUUUCGGCCAGCUAAUGCGACACUCGUGUUUAGCAGCCUAGCCGAGGAGCGCCUCUCCGAUUUCUAUAAUUUCGCCUUCCUCAACUGGUCGUACGUGGACAGCGAGAAUAUUCCCUGUGAAAUUGAAUUUACGGACGAAAAGGCGCGCUACGGCGAGGGCAGAGUGCUCAAUGUCACAGGUCGUCUUAUUCAUAUUAGCACCGCCGAUGAUAUUAGCGAUGACUUUGCCUGCACACCCUAUAUACGUGGCACCCUGGGUAUGCCGCUGCCCGAGAAGGGCGUUUCCUGGAUAGCGCUGGUGCGACGCGGCCGAUGCACGUUCGAGGAUAAGGUGAAGCAUGUGUAUCAGUAUAACGCCGCAGGGGUUAUCAUCUACAAUGACAAGCAGGUCAUGCAGCUGGAAAAGAUGCAGAUCAAGAACAAGAAUCGUAAUAUUGCCGCCGUGAUAACCUAUCAAGCGAUUGGACUUGAUCUGGCCAGCACUGUCGAUAAGGGACACAAUGUAACUAUUUCCAUUAUCGAAGGACGUCGUGGCAUCCGAGCUAUCAGCGGCUUAAAUCGAACCUCCGUUCUGUUUGUCUCGAUAUCGUUUAUUGUACUCAUGAUUAUUUCGCUGGUAUGGCUUAUCUUUUACUACAUACAAAGAUUCCGUUAUAUGCAAGCAAAGGAUCAGCAAUCGCGCAAUCUUUGCUCAGUGACAAAGAAGGCCAUUAUGAAAAUACCAACCAAAACGGGCAAGAUGACCGACGAAAAGGACUUGGACAGCGACUGCUGUGCCAUUUGCAUUGAGUCCUACAAGCCCGCUGACAUAAUCCGCAUUUUGCCCUGCAAGCACGAGUUCCACAAGAACUGCAUUGAUCCGUGGCUGAUCGAGCAUCGCACCUGCCCAAUGUGCAAGCUUGAUGUCCUCAAGUUUUAUGGUUAUGUGGUGGGUGAUCAAAUCUAUCAAACACCCAGUCCACAGCAUAAUGCGCCCCUCGCAUUGCCACCCACAACGGCAGCUGCUGCUGCUGCUGCUGCUGGUGCCGCUCCAUCCGCUUCCGAGGAGGUGGUGCCCGUCAUUGUUGUGGGCCUGCCGCAGCACAACAUCAGUAGUUUAAAUCCUAGUGCUAUCAACUAUCAUCAGCGUAGUCCUAGCAGUAGUUACCACCAGCAACAGUCGCUGCUGCAGCAGCAACAGCAGUCACAGCAGCAGCAGCCUCAACAGGGUGGCUCAGCUGAACGCGAACGCGGCAGACGCAACUCGGCACCGGCGACAAUGCCGCAAAUAAUUUGCACUGCCAGUCGCCAGGUGACUGACGUAUAAGUCACCCGGUAACUGAUUUAUUAGUAAUCCUCGUAUCUAUAUAGUUACGCUUACGUAUAAAAUCAUUUAUAUAUUUAAAUUUUACAUUCUACGUGCUGCGUACUUACCAUGUAAAUAUGCGUGCAGCGGUGCGCCCUACUGCUUUCGACAAGCAGUGCAAAGCAGUGCAAAGCAGUGAACGCCGUGUACUUAAAACGCUGAACAGCAGUCGAGCGAAACUAACGGUAACUCUGUGGAAAAACAUUCAAAAGGAAAUGUAUCUUGAAGAUUAUUAAACUAUAAGAUACAUCUCCAAUUGGAUUGUUUAACAGCUCUAAUCAGCGUAGUCUGUAGACACAGAACUGAAGAAGAAUGCCCACGCACAUUGAAAAAAAGAAAAGAAAACAACAUAAAUAUCGCAGAUUUCUAAGUUUUAUAUUUAAGUUCUAAACUUAAGCGUACCAAUUGUCGAUAAACAAAAAACAAAUAACGAAAGAAGCGCAAACAGAAAUAUUUACGAGUACUACAAUAACUACUAUUACUAUAAACUAUGUAUAACUAUGUAAAUGUAUUAUUAUAAUUCAUAAAACGCGUAGCCGUAGUAGCUGUAAUAUUUAAUGCAAGAUAAUUUGUAGCAAAAUCAGCGCCUGUUUUGCUAGUCAAUAAUGGCAAUGGCUAAAGCCUCGCCUCAAACACGUACUAUACAUACACAUACAAGCAUUAAACACUCAAGUAACACUCAUUCACACACUUAAACAUAAUGUCGAAGGUGCCAAAGUAUUUGCUUUUAGCUUUAGUUGUUCAAAUUGAAUAAAUAUACCGAUAGUUAUAUUAUUUAUUUUAAUUUUUCUCGGUUUUUCUCUCUAUGAUUUCGCAGUCCAUUUAAUGGACGAAUUUGAAUUCGACAAACAUUAUUAACCAAAAACAUUUGACAAGCUGGCAACUUGGACGAGCUUAAGAGAAGGCUACUUAAACACUUAGCACAGCUGCGUUAAUGCUUGAUCCUUAAAACGGAUCCUUAACUAUACGAGAGCACAAAUAAUAAUACGAGUAUAUUUUUUCCCAUUUCGAACAAUUUAUCGCCAGGAAUACUCCACAAAACCAGAAAACUGCCCGCUAAGCAUAAAACAAGUCAGAGUUAAGAAGACGUAGGGCCUUAAUUAGUUGUCGAUUACAAUUACCAGAUAUGUACUCCAUAAAUAUAUAUACCAUAUAGUUUUUGCUAACACCUUAAACAAAACGUUGACUCAAGCAUAUUUAAGAACCUACAAAACAGAACAAAAUAAAUUGAUUGAAUUUGAAAACGCUUCGCUUGUUUGCCAUGUAGAUGCCGUUGAGCUUCUAGCGCUUGUCCAAUCAUCAGUAGAUUUGCCAAGGGACCGACUUCGGAGGACCUC